CUUCGGUCUUUUACGUCGGCCUUGUGAUCCUUCUGGCCGUUUGGUGGGUGAGUCUGUGUUGCGGGCGAGUACGGGAGCAAAAGAUGGUGGCGCAGGCAGAAAUAGGAGCUUUAGUACUGUGAAGCCAUCUUAGAGAUGAGCUUAGAGAGCCUGAGGGUUGAAAGCUUGUACGUGGGAAAACACGCGGCCGGACUGCCACCUUACUGAGGUUGAGUCCUGGCGGCCACAGGCUCUGAAUUUUGGCGUGAAGAGGCAGAUGAUCAGCAGCGGGCGCCGCGCGCUUUCAGGCCUCCAGCACGAGCCUGAACGGCGUGGGAAAAACCACAGUUACGGGAUUGGGGCAGAGGGUUAGUUUUAAGAGCCAGGGGCCUUUAAAAUGGCGAAGACCUUCCGUCGGCGUUAUUUUAAAAUGGAUAGUCUCCACCCUGUGCUGAGAUUGAGCUGUUUGAAGGCGGCAUUGUGUGCAAUUUGGAUUAACGAAAGGUAAGGGUUUCAUGUGGAAAAACGCCUUGGAGUGUGACAUUUCUGCGAGAAUGCUCAUACAUCGAUUCCCCGGAGAAACAAUGGCGCUAUCUUUCAGUGACACAGCGGAGCCUCUCGGUGAAGAUGCAAAGGUACGUGAAAAAAUUACAACACAUCUGGGAGAAUAUUUAAUAGAAAAUCACUUGGUUAAAACCUAACACUUUUAACAGGUAUGAGUUAUUUUAGUACUUUAUGAUCGUAGCGUUUAAUCUACACUUAGACUAAAUUAAUAUUUUUGUCAUUAAACAGCGUUCUGGCUGCUGACAAGUAGCUAAUGAAGAUAUGAAUGUCAGAUGUCACUGACUAGCAGCUUCAUUUUGAAUGAGGGUCGCUGUCUGCCCAUUGAUAGAGGCCAGAUUGUCUUGGAAGUUCCAAAGUUGCAACGAUUUCUGGCUAGUACCACGAGGUUUACUUGACUGUGGUAUGAAAAGCUGAUAAGAAAACCAUCCAGAAAAAAGCUCUUCAUUUUACAAACAUGAAAAUAAAACAUGUAAUUUUGGAUUA